rnacentral:rRNA from 1 species
AAAGGAAGCGUCAUGAAGAAACAACAUAGGUGUUAAACACACUGAUAAAAGUUUCUUCAUCACGCGUUUUAAAGUGCCAACACAAAGAGGGAAGGAUAAGUAGAGUAUUGAGUGCCGAAGAAAUCGUUAGCGGCGGACGGGUGAGUAACACGUGGGCAACCUGCCUUGAAGUGGGGGAUAACACCGGGAAAUCGGUGCUAAUACCGCAUAACAUACACAAACUGCAUGGUAAGUGUAUCAAAGGAGCAAUCCGUCUUUAAGAGUGGGCCCGCGGCUGAUUAGCUAGUUGGUAAGGUAACGGCUUACCAAGGCGACGAUCAGUAGCCGACCUGAGGAGGGUGACCGGCCACACUGGAACUGAGACACGGUCCAGACUCCGUACGGGAGGCAGCAGGUGGGGAAUAUUGCGCAAUGGGGGGAACCCUGACGCAGCAACGCCGCGUGGAGGAAGAAGGUCUUCGGAUUGUAAACUCCUGUCUUCUGGGACGAAUAAUGACGGUACCAGAGGAGGAAGCCACGGCUAACUACGUG